GGCCGUGUGGCGCAACGGUAGCGCGUUACUUUCCGGUUGGAAUCAUCUUCUGUUGGUAAAGGCUCUGGGUUCGAGUCCCAGCAUGGUCG